CCCUUAGAUGUUCUGGGCAGCACGCGCGCUACAAUGGUCUUCGCAAACGGAUGCAUUCUCGAAGGAGAAUGCCAAUCUUGGAAUCUAUGCCUUGGUCGGGACAGUUGCUUGCAAUUUUUCGACUCGAACCAGGAAUUCCUUGUAAUCGUGAUUCAUCACAUCACGAUGAAUACGUCCCUGCCCUUUGUACACACCGCCCGUCGCUCCUACCGAUCGAAGAGUUAGGUGAAUUGUUUUGAUCGAUAAGAUUUGACUAUGGUCAACUCUCGUUGUGAAAUUCUGUGAAUCUGACUGUUUAGAGGAAGGAAAAGUCGUACA
rnacentral:rRNA from 1 species